UACGUAGGCAGCAAGCGUUACUCGGAAUUACUGGGCGUAAAGCGCGCGCAGGCGGCUAUCCAAGUCAGUGGUGAAAGCCCGGAGCUCAACUCCGGAACUGCCAUUGAAACUGUUUAGCUUGAGGACGAGAGAGGUGAGUGGAAUUCCCAGUGUAGAGGUGAAAUUCGUAGAUAUUGGGAAGAACACCGGUGGCGAAGGCGGCUCACUGGCUCGUAUCUGACGCUCAGGCGCGACAGCGUGGGGGAUCAAACAGG
rnacentral:rRNA from 1 species